rnacentral:rRNA from 1 species
AACGAACGCUGGCGGCAUGCCUAACACAUGCAAGUCGAACGAGACCUUCGGGUCUAGUGGCGCACGGGUUCGUAACGCGUGGGAACCUUCCCUUAUGUUCGGAAUAACUACCCGAAAGGGGUGCUAAUACCGGAUAAUGGCUUCUGACCAAAGAUUUAUCGCCUUUGGAUGGGCCCGAGUUGGAUUAGCUAGUUGGUAGGGUAAAAGCCUACCAAGGCGACGAUCCAUAGCUGGUCUGAGAGGAUGAUCAGCCACACUGGGACUGAGACACGGCCCAGACUCCUACGGGAGGCAGCAGUGGGGAAUAUUGGACAAUGGGCGAAAGCCUGAUCCAGCAAUGACGCGUGAGUGAUGAAGGCCUUAGGGUUGUAAAGCUCUUUUACCCGGGAUGAUAAUGACAGUACCGGGAGAAUAAGCCCCGGCUAACUCCGUG